UACGUAGGGGGCAAGCGUUGUCCGGAUUUAUUGGGCGUAAAGAGCGUGUAGGCGGCCAUGCAGGUCCGUUGUGAAAACUCGAGGCUCAACCUCGAGACGCCGAUGGAAACCGCAUGGCUAGAGUCCGGAAGAGGAGAGUGGAAUUCCUGGUGUAGCGGUGAAAUGCGCAGAUAUCAGGAGGAACACCGGUGGCGAAGGCGGGUCUCUGGGCAACAACUGACGCUGAGGAGCGAAAGCGUGGGGAGCGAACAGG
rnacentral:rRNA from 1 species